GCCUGUCACUCUGAUGCCUCUCUCUACUCAAAUGGCAGAAACCAACCAGGUACAUCCCAGCCUUCUUGCACAUAGAAACACUACACAGCACUUCAGCUGUAUGUUUGGGGGCCAUUUUAAACAGCAAAAUCAUCAACAGGAAGCAGAAAAUUGUAAAAAUUGUGGCACUAAAUAGACCAUGUAAAGGACACAUGUUUGCAAUAAGAAAGCUGAAACAAGAAGGGGGAGUGUCACCUUAUUUGAUCCAGCUAGAAACUCAGGUGCUGGUAUUCCAGCAACACUCAGGCGGCUGCUCCAGGAGGCUGCAGAGGGGUCCUUUUUAGGCGUCAACAAAACUGGCUAUGGUCACGCCCAUUGGGAAACUCAUUGCUGCCUUCAAGGUGAUGGCCACAGUGGCAGAACCUAGGAAGCCAAGAAGAAACCAGAGAAUGGAGACACAUGGCAGCAAUGGCAAGUCAUCAGACCCAGGAUUUCCCAAAGAACACUGGUCCAGGAAGAUGCUCUGUGAAAAAGUGUUCCCUGGUCAGAGAAAUUUGUGAAACACUUUGCAUACUUAAAAGAAUGUAUGGCACAUCAAAGGUAAUAUGCAAUAAAAGAAUUCAUUUUUUAAAAACCAA
rnacentral:lncRNA from 1 species